GACGAACCGUGCGAACGUUGUUCGGAAUCACUGGGCUUAAAGGGCGCGUAGGCGGGCUCUCAAGUCAGGGGUGAAAGCCCACGGCCCAACCGUGGAAGUGCCUCUGAUACUGGGGGCCUGGAGGGGGAUAGGGGCGUGCGGAACUUGGGGUGGAGCGGUGAAAUGCGUAGAUAUCCCAAGGAACACCGGUGGCGAAGGCGGCACGCUGGGUCCCUACUGACGCUGAGGCACGAAAGCGUGGGGAGCAAACAGG
rnacentral:rRNA from 1 species